rnacentral:rRNA from 1 species
AUUGCCCUAGUAACGGCGAGUGAAGCGGCAACAGCUCAAAUUUGAAAUCUGGCCCUCGGGUCCGAGUUGUAAUUUGUAGAGGAUGCUUUUGGUGAGGUACCUUCCGAGUUCCCUGGAACGGGACGCCAUAGAGGGUGAGAGCCCCGUCUGGUCGGAUACCAAUCCUCUGUAAAGCUCCUUCGACGAGUCGAGUAGUUUGGGAAUGCUGCUCUAAAUGGGAGGUAUAUGUCUUCUAAAGCUAAAUAUUGGCCAGAGACCGAUAGCGCACAAGUAGAGUGAUCGAAAGAUGAAAAGCACUUUGAAAAGAGGGUUAAACAGUACGUGAAAUUGUUGAAAGGGAAGCGCUUGUGACCAGACUUGGGCCCGGUUAAUCAUCCAGCGUUCUCGCUGGUGCACUUGGCCGGCCCAGGCCAGCAUCAGUUCGGUGUGGGGGAUAAAGGCGGCGGGAAUGUGGCUCCUCCGGGAGUGUUAUAGCCCACCGUGUAAUACCCUGUGCUGGACUGAGGUUCGCGCAUUCGCAAGGAUGCUGGCGUAAUGGUCAUUAGCGACCCGUCUUGAAACACGGACCAAGGAGUCGUCUUCGUAUGCGAGUGUUCGGGUGUUAAACCCCUACGCGUAAUGAAAGUGAACGCAGGUGAGAGCUUCGGCGCAUCAUCGACCGAUCCUGAUGUUCUCGGAUGGAUUUGAGUAAGAGCAUACGGGGCCGGACCCGAAAGAAGGUGAACUAUGCCUGUAUAGGGUGAAGCCAGAGGAAACUCUGGUGGAGGCUCGCAGCGGUUCUGACGUGCAAAUCGAUCGUCAAAUAUGGGCAUGGGGGCGAAAGACUAAUCGAACCUUCUAGUAGCUGGUUUCCGCCGAAGU